AAUCCGUUUUCAAGUUCUGGGAAAACCAGUUCAGAAUGACUGCUAAUACCAGGAUGACACUUAUGGUGAAAGAUUAAUUGCCUGAGGGUGAGCUCGCGUCAGAUUAGCUAGUAGGUGGUGUAAGGGACUACCUAGGCACUGAUAUGUAGCUGGUUUGAGAGGAUGAUCAGCCACAUUGGAAGUGAGACACGGUCCAGACUCCUACGGGAGGCAGCAGUGGGGAAUUUUCCGCAAUGGGCCGAAAGCUUGACGGAGCAAUACCGCCUGAGGGAUGAAGGCUUUUGGGUCGUAAACCUCUUUUAUUAGGGAAGAAAUAGACGGUACUUAAUGAAUAAGCAUCGGCUAACUCCGUGCCAGCAGACGCGGUAAUCCGGAGGAUGCAAGCGUUCUUCGGAAUUUUUGCCCGUAAAGCAAACUUCCCCGGUUUUGCAACUCUGAGGUUUAAGCGCCAGGCUUAACUUCCUAAAGGCAUUGGAAACCAUUCAACCCGAGUACGUUACAUGCCCAG
rnacentral:rRNA from 1 species